AUGGCUGGUGUUCUAACGUGGGCCCCUAAUCGGGGUUGCGGACAGUGUCUGGUGGGUAGUUUGACUGGGGCGGUCUCCUCCUAAAGAGUAACGGAGGAGCACGAAGGUCAGCUAAUCCUGGUCGGACAUCAGGAGGUUAGUGCAAUGGCAUAAGCUGGCUUGACUGCGAGCGUGACGGCGCGAGCAGGUGCGAAAGCAGGUCAUAGUGAUCCGGUGGUUCUGAAUGGAAGGGCCAUCGCUCAACGGAUAAAAGGUACUCCGGGGAUAACAGGCUGAUACCGCCCAAGAGUUCAUAUCGACGGCGGUGUUUGGCACCUCGAUGUCGGCUCAUCACAUCCUGGGGCUGAAGUAGGUCCCAAGGGUAUGGCUGUUCGCCAUUUAAAGUGGUACGCGAGCUGGGUUUAGAACGUCGUGAGACAGUUCGGUCCCUAUCUGCCGUGGGCGCUGGAGAAUUGAGGGGGGCUGCUCCUAGUACGAGAGGACCGGAGUGGACGCAUCACUGGUGUUCGGGUUGUCAUGCCAAUGGCAUUGCCCGGUAGCUAAAUGCGGAAGAGAUAAGUGCUGAAAGCAUCUAAGCACGAAACUUGCC
rnacentral:rRNA from 1 species